AUGGCCCUUGUCAGCCUUUUAAGGGUUUAUUGGAUUUGCCUUUUCCUGUUUAGCAGUGGGACUUCUGCUCCAUUAGCUAGAAGUGGCUCAUCAUCCAGGGAAGAUGAACUGAACCAAGACUCGUCUAGCCUUGAAUAUCUCGAAGAGCCCAGGGCGCCGAGAGCAUCAAGCAGGAAAUCUGGUUCUCUUGACCAAGCUUUGUCCCUUUGGGCCUCUGGCAUGUACAAGCAGGGCUCCAUACCUUCAUAUUAUCUUGCGCUUCAGGACCCUGAUAAACCCCUUGAAUAUUUCACCAAACCUCAGGAACUGUCCAUGACCGGGUUGGUGGACCAGAGAGCUUCUUCUGGUGGUCCCAGCGAAGAUGUGCCAGAAAACGAGGGACAUCUCAUUGAGCCCAGGGCCCUCAAGAAGUCUCCCGCCAAAGCCUCCCCCUCGGUCUCGAUGUCCAAAGAAGGCUCCAUACUGCCAUUAAAUCCCUUGCAACAGGGCUCCGGUGGAGCAGGUGCGCCCAACCAAGAGGCACCACAGGGAAAGGGAGUGUCUGCAGUUGUAGCCGGUGCUCAUCAACUGAGCUCGGGGACCUCUCAAGAACUCUCCGACUGGACCAGACAAGCCUAUUCACCGAGCAAUGAAGUUGACUCUGAGGUGUCCGCCUUCUACCAGCAGGGUGAAGGCUUUGAAGCUCUUCUGCCUCAGUUUGAAGUCUCUGACCUGCAGGAGCCUCAACAAGGCGUCAGUGAGCCCAGGGAACAGAAGAGGUGCCAUGCUCUUAGCCAAGCUUCCUCCAUGUCCAAACAGGGCUCUGGUGGAGCAGGUGUUUGGGAGGUUCCUGAGCUUGAGGCAAAAGACCUAUCGAACUACCUGACCGCCUGGAACAUGGAAGGCUAUUCACCGAGCAAUGAAUAUGACUCUGCGUUGGCAGCCUUUUACCAGCAGGAUGACGGGUCUGAAGUCUCUGACAUGCAGGAGCUUCAACAAGGAGUCAUUGAGCCUUUGGGUGAUGGUUCUGAAGGCUCUGACAUGCAGGAGCUUCAACAAGGAGUCAUUGAGCCUUUGGGUGAUGGUUCUGAAGUCUUUGACAUGCAGGAGCUUCAACAAGGAGUCAUUGAGCCUUUGGGUGACGGUUCUGAACACUCUGACAUGCAGGAGCUUCCAUCAGGCGUCAGUGAGCCUUAUCCACCCAGCUUCAUUAUCCAGAUCGGGAGUGGCUACCAACGGUCCAGACUGAGUGCCACCUCAGACCAAUACUCCCUCAACCAAGGUCCUGAGGCAUUUGGGAUUUAUCCUGAAGACUGGGACAACUACCAGAUGCCAAGCUCUAUCAAGUGAUCAUGUAAUGUGAACUCUGAGCAUUUCCCUUGGAAACGCCCUACAAACAUUUCUUGCCGGGUUUUCAGUAAAGUAAUUCAACACAAAGUUUGUGGUCGUAACUCUACCAUGCAGGACUCUUCAUUGUGCCCUUAUGGUCACUAGUAUAUACUUUGUAGUUCCCUUAUAUAUCUCCUUUAAGGAAUACCUGUGGUAAUCUUUUGUUCUGUUUGCUACUGUUCGAGGACCCCCCGCCCCCCCAUGUGGUUCACCAUGGUUUUACGUUCGCUGAUAGUCAAUGUAUGACAAGUGUUGCUAGCAAAUAUUGGUUGGAAAGUAUUGUAGGGAGGGUUCCACAAAUUUGGUUGUCUGGGCACAUUACCCUAUGGCUAUCAUUGACCUUUUUAGAAAAUUCUGCCUCUUUUUCAAGACUGGCAUUAAUGUAGUGUUGCAGUAGUUUUUGUUGGUCUAAACCUAUCAAAGGUUUAGGUUGAGCUGAACCUAUCAAACUAUAAUUAAAAUGUUAAUUGCUGCACGCCACCUGUGGCUUUUCUGGGCACCUCCCUAGCGUAGAUGCAGGAAGACGUAAAAUGGGUAAUUGUAUGAUUACAAUGAGCCCGAGUUGACUUGUAUUUUUCAUAGACUUUAAAUUAUGAAAUAAGAUCUGGUUCCGAACAUACUCUUGGGACCAUAACUCUGUUCUCUGAUCAAAUGACCAGGAAGGUCGGUCAGGAGAUCAGAAAGUGACACAUGGCUGUGGAUCCAUAAAUAGAGAUGAGUUAAACGGAUCAUUCUAUAGGGGGUAAAAGACAAUGAAUUUGUCAGGAAACUGCGUUCGAGGUCCACAGCAUAACCUCUUGGCCUUUUCAGAAAGACAUUCGAUUUCACUGAAUCACGGGUGAAAAUCUAACCCUAUAGGUGUGGCAUCUUCACCAUUCCGGCCAUGCCAAUAAAAUACUUUUUACCUCAAGAGAUUCUUCCUAAUCUACCUCCAGUUGUCACAACGUUUUUUAUGAUUGCUGAUGGUCUACAUUUGUGAAGACUGUCUAAUAAAUAUAGGCUGGAGGAUAUUGAUCAAUAUAAUCCAUGGAGGUAGUUAAAAAAAUUUGGCCUAUUUUGUCAAUCUCAAGACUCGGUAAUGUCAUAUUGCAGUCUGAGUUUUAUUGAGGUUUUAUUGAGGAAAUCACCACCAUUAUCUAAUAUGUGGCAGAUUUUAAAUAAUGAUUGCAGAGAGGAGUGUCCUUUGGGAGUGCUGUUGAGGCAUUUUAUCAUAGUAUUGCAAUAUUGAUUCAGUGAUUACUACAUUGCACACCUGAGUGAAUAUAUAUAUUCAUAUUUUGGUUUGGAUGAAGUAUUGAUUCUGGAUCUGAUGGUUACAUUGCUAAGCUUAGGGAAUGUGUAUUGGUAUUGAUGAAGUAUUGAUUCUGGAUCCGACCUCUACAUUGCCAAGCUAAAUGAUUAGCAUUCUUUUUUUGGUAGAGAUAAGGUAUUGAUCUUAAUAUGGGGAGUGGGUGUAAAGAUAAAGCAUGCUUAUGGGACAUUACAUGUCUAGUCUCGUAAGUUACUUAUUCUACUCUUGUUAGCCGUAAAUAAGGUGGUUGCUUAUUCUUGUCAUGUAUACUGAAAGGAAGCGGGAAAUCCUUAUAGUUGUGUUACCGCUUAGUCUUCUUGGACUUAUUUUAUAACCCCUUUGUCGCACUGUAUAUUCCUGGACCAGUUUAUCAUAGACUAAAUAAAGGGGGUACAUCUUUGUGCGUACUCAUGACCUGCUAUAUGCAUUGUUUAAUUCACCUCAUUUCACAUCCGUGGGCUACUGGUUAAGGAGAUAGACUGGUAACCGGAGGGCGGCCAGUUCGAGUCCCGACUGUUACACUAAAUUGUCGAUGUAGGGGAGUAGUUGUCCUCCAGUAGUGUCCUCCAGAAAAGGCACCUGUAACCCCCUCCUGCUCCAAAAUGGAGACCGGCCCUACACUGUGGAUCUUGAUAUGAUUUCCUUGUCAGUAGAAUGCUUUCAUAGUGG
ensembl:lncRNA